UUCUUAUUAGCUCAAUGGUAGAGCAGAAGAUUCCUAAUCUUUAGAUCUAAGUUCAACUCUUAGAUAAGAAU